UCGCGGCGGCGCGCGCAGAAGGGUCUGGGCUCGAGCCUGCCUGGAGCCGCCGCCGGUGCAGAUCUUGGUGGUAGUAGCAAAUACUCCAGCGAGGCCCUGGAGGACUGAUGUGGAGAAGGGUUUCGUGUGAACAGCCGUUGCACACGAGUCAGUCGAUCCUAAGCCCUAGGAGAAAUCCGACGCCAACGGCGACGGGAAUCAUUAAUUUUUUUGUUAAACGACCCGUUGAUCGGGCGAAAGGGAAUCCGGUUCCUAUUCCGGAACCCGGCAGCGGAACCGCUGUUUGUCGGGCCCUCACAAGGGGUUCGUCAGGGUAACCUAAAAGGGCCCGGAGACGCCGUCGGGAGCCCCGGAAAGAGUUUUCUUUUCUGCAUGAGCGUUCGAGUUCCCUGGAAUCCUCUCGCAGGGAGAUAGGGUUUGGAACGCGAAGAGCACCGCAGUUGCGGCGGUGCCCGGGAAUUCCCGACGGACCUUGAAAAUCCGGGAGAGGGCCACGUGGAGGUGUCGCGCCGGCUCGUACCCAUAUCCGCAGCAGGUCUCCAAGGUGAAGAGCCUCUAGUCGAUAGAAUAAUGUAGGUAAGGGAAGUCGGCAAAUCGGAUCCGUAACUUCGGG
rnacentral:rRNA from 1 species